UGAAAUUAAGAUUAAUUAUAGGCAAACAAAUUUUCAUUAUAGCCAAACAAAUUUUCAAUCAAACAAUCUUCAAUCUUCAAAUUGAAAAAGGGAAAGGGAAAAAUGGCAGCACAAAGGAGACACUUGAAUUGUGAAGCGACGAGGACGGUAAACGGCGAGUCGGCGACAAGGAGAGAAAGACAGCGGCGACUGAGUGACACAACGACGGAGAUGGGUGGGUUAUUUGUUUCACGAUGAGAAUAAGAGGUAUCUCAAUUGUUUAAUCUACUUUACCAUUUUUCAAUCUCACCCGUUGAUUUCUUUUAUAUCCACAUGUCAUAGAUCUAGCAAGGAACUGGAGCAAACUGGAGGA
rnacentral:lncRNA from 1 species